CCGCAGGCACCUCGCUGUGGCUGAGCGUCUCCCCUGCUCUCUGGGUCCCGGGAGUUCCCUCGCUGUGUGACCCUCAGCAAGUGUGCGCACCUCUCUGAGCCUCGGCAGCCUGUAGCAAAAUGGAGGAGCUCGUACCGGCUGUGAGACAAAAUAGGAGCGGCAAAGGGUAGCGCUUAAGAGCAAGGACUGGAGUCCUCACUCCGCCACCGGAUAACUUCGGGAAACUAGCUGUACUGAUAGAACCACCUCAUAGGUUUGUUAUGAAGAUUAAGUGAGUUAAUAUUUGUAAAGUGUUUAGAACAGCUUCUGUUACGUGGUAAGUGGUAUUUAAGUAUUUGUUAGACUACGGGAGGUCUCCCUGCGCGAUUUUCUCCCUUCCCCUCUCCAUCCCCACAUUCCUGUUUGUAAGCCAAGCCUUGCUUUAGCACAGGCUGGGCCCUCUGCCUGGAAAUCUAUGCCCACCUCUUCUUUGCACUUUAAUAUCACCCCCUUUGUGAAGCCUUUCUCCACUCCUGACAGUAUACGUGACUCUAUGGUGACAGGUAAGUGUGAAAAAUAUGAAUGGUAGGAACACAGGAGAACUUGGGUUUGAACCAGCUCCACUGUAGACCAGUCCUCGAGUGAUCCUAGGCAAGGUGCUGGCCUAUGAGGCUCAGCUUUCUUCUGGGUUAAACGGAAUGAACAUGACCACCAACUUCAUGUGCUAUCAUGAGAGAUACAAUGUCCAGAUAAGCUCAUGAAAUACUUAGCACAGGCUUAACUCGCGGUAAAUCCCCCUUUAGUGGUAGUGGUAUUAUUUCACCUUAUUUCAUCUGAUUUCACCUCGUUUCUUCUUCUAGACCCGUGUCUUACUUGAGACACAGUGAAAGGAAAGACCCCCCCCAGUCCAAAGGUCUGGACAAAAUCCUGAGACAGGCAUGUUCUGCUCCACGUGGUAGACUGUAACCACCACACAAUGCCAGAAUUUACCUGGGACCACUUCAAGGCUGACUUGACUCUCUCCUGGUCUAGAUUCCAAAUUCUAGAAGAGAGAAGCGGAUUGGCCCAGUUUGGAUCAUUCAUUCUGGGAGAAGCCAGCUGUCAUGUUGUGAACAGUCCUAUGGAGCAUUUCAUGUGAUGCAAAACUGAGGCCUCCUGCUUAAAGCCACAUCAAGCCUUCAGAUGACUGCAGCUCUGGCCAACAUCUGGGUUGCAACCUCAUGAGAGACCCUGAGCCAGACCAUCUGGCAACUAAGCUGCUCCUAAAUUUCUGAUCCCUGGAAACUGAGAUAGGAAAUGUGUGUUGUUUUAAACCACUAAGUUUGGGAUAAUUCGUUAUGUAGCAAUAGAUAACUAAUAUACAUAUCUUGCAUCUAUCUUGAUAAAUAUAUCACCUAGUCUUUGAUGGUUUUUUGAUACUAUUUAAAAAGAUGUUUUAAAAUUUUCAGUUUCCAAUUGCUUAUUGGCAGUAGAUAGAAAUAUAACUGAAUUUAGAAUAUUGACGUUAUAUCCUGUGACCUUGCUGAACUCAGUCCCAGUAGCUUAGAA